GACGUAGGGCGCGAGCGUUUGUCCGGAUUUAUUGGGCGUAAAGAGCUCGUAGGCGGCUUGUCGCGUCGGGAGUGAAAACACCGGGCUUAACUCGGUGCUUGCUUUCGAUACGGGGCAGACUAGAGGCAUGCAGGGGAGAACGGAAUUCCUGGUGUAGCGGUGAAAUGCGCAGAUAUCAGGAGGAACACCGGUGGCGAAGGCGGUUCUCUGGGCAUGUCCUGACGCUGAGGAGCGAAAGUGUGGGGAGCGAACAGG
rnacentral:rRNA from 1 species